AUUGAACGCUGGCGGAAUGCUUUACACAUGCAAGUCGAACGGCAGCACGGGGGGCAACCCUGGUGGCGAGUGGCGAACGGGUGAGUAAUACAUCGGGACGUGCCCAGUCGUGGGGGAUAACGUAGCGAAAGCUACGCUAAUACCGCAUACGAUCUAUGGAUGAAAGCGGGGGACCGUAAGGCCUCGCGCGAUUGGAGCGGCCGAUGGCAGAUUAGGUAGUUGGUGGGGUAAAGGCUCACCAAGCCUGCGAUCUGUAGCUGGUCUGAGAGGACGACCAGCCACACUGGGACUGAGACACGGCCCAGACUCCUACGGGAGGCAGCAGUGGGGAAUUUUGGUCAAUGGGCGCAAGCCUGAUCCAGCCAUUCCGCGUGCAGGAUGAAGGCCCUCGGGUUGUAAACUGCUUUUGUACGGAACGAAAAGGCUCUUUCUAAUACAGAGAGCUCAUGACGGUACCAUAAGAAUAAGCACCGGCUAACUACGUGCCAGCAGCCGCCGUAACAC
rnacentral:rRNA from 1 species